GGAAAGGCCAUAGCUCAGUGGUAGGGUAGCUGUUUUGCAUACAAAAGGUCCCAGGUUCAAUCCUCUGCUUUUCCA